rnacentral:rRNA from 1 species
UACGGGGGGGAGCAAGCGUUGUUCGGAUUUACUGGGCGUAAAGGGCGUGUAGGUGGUUUCGUAAGUCUGGCGUGAAAUCUCUCGGCUCAACCGAGAGAGGCUGUCCGAUACUGCUGGGCUUGAGGGCGGUAGGGGCUGGUGGAAUUCCCGGUGUAGUGGUGAAAUGCGCAGAUAUCAGGAGGAACACCGGUGGCGAAGGCGGAUCUCUGGGCCGAUACUGACGCUGAGGAGCGAAAGCGUGGGGAGCGAACAGG